GACGAAGGUGGCAAGCGUUACUCGGAAUUACUAGGCGUAAAGCGUGGGUAGGCGGCCCAGCAAGUCUGUUGUGAAAGCUCCCGGCUCAACUGGGAGAGGUCAAUGGAAACUACUGGGCUUGAAUGUGGGAGGGGUCACUGGAAUUCCUGGUGUAGCGGUGAAAUGCGUAGAGAUCAGGAGGAACACCAAUGGCGAAAGCAGGUGACUGGACCACUAUUGACGCUGAGCCACGAAAGCUAGGGGAGCAAACAGG
rnacentral:misc_RNA from 1 species